GGCAAAUAUUAUGGGAUCGCACCUCAGCUAAUGUCUUCGAGGCUUAGGAGCUCUCGAGUUGACAAGAAUACUGAUAUGAUCCUUGACUGCUGACCUCAUCAGGAGGUCGAGCUCAUCAAAAAGUCAUCCUCAUCAGGAGGUUAAGCUCAACAGAAGGCCGACCUCAUCAGAAAGUCAAGGUCAUCGAAAAGCCGACCUCAUUAGAAGGCUGAGAUC
rnacentral:lncRNA from 1 species